ACAGGCUGGUUUCCUGCCCACAGGGUGUGGUUUAUAAAAAUAGAGAAGUCAUCGUGACAGUGCAUGUUGUGCAGCUGGACUCCGGACUGAAGGUUCACAGCUCUGCAGCAGAUUUACUCAAAACAACAGCAAAACAAUGGCUUCAGUCAAUAUUGAAUACUGUCCAGGAUGAGGUUACGCCUCCCGGUACCAGACCCUGGCUGGUACCCUCAGCCAGAUUCCUGGUGUGGAGGUGACCGGAUUCAAAGGGAGAAACACGAGCUUUGAGGUGUCAGUGAACGGGCAGCUGAUCUACUCCAAGCUGAAGACGGGGACAUUUCCUGAUCCUGGAGAGGUAGCGGAAAUGGUGAGGAAGAUGGUCCAAGGCAAGAAAGGCGGGAAAAAGUAGAAGAGUCGGAGGAUGGAGGAUAAGAUGACAGCUGUAUUCACACUGCAAGACUACGUGGGGUUUUUUCUUCUGUGGUUCAGAACUCAUUCGAAUCUCACUCUCGUUACGUCUCCGUAACUGAAGGCCAAAACUAAUUCAAACACCGUCGACCAUCAUCAAAACCAGUUACCGCUCACUGUCAGCCAAGAAGGUCAGCCCAUGUCCUUCCUUCAGUGUGAAUACAGACGAAGACGAGCGACGAGAGCGACUCUGAGGAGCCGGCCGCUGAUCUGUACUUCUGUUUAUGAAUGUACACACUAAAAAAACACGUGGUGUGUACACGAUGCAAGUCUAGAAGCUUUUCAUCCGACUGGAGCCUGAGGCACUGCUCUCAUCUCGUCUGUCUGUCGUGCAGAAAAUAUAACUCUUAAUCAAGCCACAUAUUUCAUAUCCAGCUUUCGGCCUUUUUGAAUAAAUCCCAGGGUUUCUUGUCUCUACUGUGAUCGGUCGUGAUUGGAACUUAAAAGAGCCAGUAAGCUCAGCGCCUCUCAAGUUCACAAGUUCACAUUUCAUAUGUCACUUGUUUAGUCCGUACUAAAAUGACCAUUGGACUCGUUUCUUGACCGGGACCAGUGAAUUCCUCAGGUCUUCACAGCUGCUCCAGGUCAAACAAAAAGUCAAACACAUAACCGUCCUGUAAAAAAUUGCCAAUUGUCAUUUUGGGGGUUUUUGUACGAUUUAAACAAACAAGAUGUGUUCUGUAGCGUGGACAGAGUCAGGCCAGCUGAGCUGACCAACUUCUGGCUCCAGCUUCGUAUGUAUCAUGGUGUGCCAGCCUUUUCUCAGCUUCGGCGAGAAAAAACAUUUCUUUAAAUUUUUUGGUGAGGUUGCCGACAAAAUAUACUCCAGUAAUUUCUCAGUCUUUAAAUGUUGUGCAUUUCUCACCUAUGGAUGUCUUAAGCGCUAUUUUUAUAUUCAUCCCUUCCAUAUUCUGCUUUCCCUUCUACUAUUUCAACAGUUGUUGAAUACUAAUUCUGUAACAAAUGUUACAUAAGAAAAACUAACGUAAUUUAUGUAAUUUGACUUGAAACAUAUUUGAACUUAAAUGACUUGUUCCACUGUUCCAACAAUUUGUAACCAAUUCCAACCAACUUCCAAAUAAAUCCAAUCCGUUUUUUUUUCCGGAAAUGCAAUAAAAUAUGAGGGAUUAACA